UACGUAGGCAGCAAGCGUUGUUCGGAAUUACUGGGCGUAAAGGGCGCGUAGGCGGGAUGGCAAGUCGGCCGUGAAAUCCCUCGGCUCAACCGAGGAACGUCGAUCGAUACUGCUGUCUUGAGGAUUGCAGAGGAGACUGGAAUUCCCGGUGUAGCGGUGAAAUGCGCAGAUAUCAGGAGGAACACCGGUGGCGAAGGCGGGUCUCUGGGCCGAUGACUGACGCUGAGGAGCGAAAGCGUGGGGAGCGAACAGGAUAG
rnacentral:rRNA from 1 species